rnacentral:rRNA from 1 species
UACGGGGGGCAAGCGUUGUUCGGAAUUACUGGGCGUAAAGGGUUUGUAGGUGACUCGCUAAGCCACACGUGAAAUCCCUCAGCUUAACCGGGGAACUGCGUGUGGGACUGGCGAGCUUGAGGACAGGAGAGGAACGCGGAAUUCCAGGUGUAGCGGUGAAAUGCGUAGAUAUCUGGAGGAACACCGGUGGCGAAGGCGGCGUUCUGGACUGUUUCUGACACUGUAAAACGAAAGCCAGGGGAGCAAACGGG